CAUCAAUAUUAUUAUUGAAAAGAUAUAUUUUAACGGUCAUUAAAAAACUAGUUUCAUUAAAAAUGUACUUCGUACGUGUAUACACAUCAUGCAUCAAUUUGUACAAAUAUCACAAACAAUUAGUGGGUCCCACAAUGGGCCCCAAUCACUGCUACACCCACCAUUGUAAAUGAUAUUUAUCCAAAAUAUUGCACAAUAUAGGUGCAUGCACGUAUUUAUUUUUUUUGACAAAACAUAUAAUUGAUUAUCUUUAAAAAAGUACUUCUACG
rnacentral:lncRNA from 1 species